GUCUCUUCUGAGGACAUCACGUCAGAAGGGGCAACAAUCACCUUCAACAGCCGUUUCUGAGGAGACUACAUUAAGUCAAAGAAAAGGGGAACGAAUAUCAUCAAAGCCCACCCUGAG